rnacentral:misc_RNA from 1 species
GAAAUGCGAUAAGUAAUGAGAAUUGCAGAAUUCAGUGAAUCAUCGAAUCUUUGAACGCACAUUGCGCCCGCCAGUAUUCUGGCGGGCAUGCCUGUUCGAGCGUCAUUACAACCCUCAGGCCCCCGGGCCUGGCGUUGGGGAUCGGCGGAAGCCCCCUGCGGGCACAACGCCGUCCCCCAAAUACAGUGGCGGUCCCGCCGCAGCUUCCAUUGCGUAGUAGCUAACACCUCGCAACUGGAGAGCGGCGCGGCCACGCCGUAAAACACCCAACUUCUGAAUGUUGACCUCGAAUCAGGUAGGAAUACCCGCUGAACUUAAGC